rnacentral:rRNA from 1 species
GGCCCAUGUGGGAGUGGCGCACGGGUGAGUAGCGCGUGGGAACCUGCCCAGGAGUGGGGGAUAACCGAGGGAAACUUCGGCUAAUACCGCAUGCGCCCCCGGGGUGACCCGGGGGGAAAGAUUUAUCGCUCUUGGAGGGGCCCGCGUCGGAUUAGCUUGUUGGUGGGGUAACGGCCUACCAAGGCGGCGAUCCGGAGCUGGUCUGAGAGGAUGAUCAGCCACACUGGGACUGAGACACGGCCCAGACUCCUACGGGAGGCAGCAGUGGGGAAUAUUGGACAAUGGGCGCAAGCCUGAUCCAGCAAUGCCGCGUGAGUGAUGAAGGCCUUCGGGUUGUAAAGCUCUUUCGCCCGCGACGAUNAUGACGGUAGCGGGAGAGGAAGCCCCGGCUAACUUCGUGC